rnacentral:lncRNA from 1 species
AUUUUGUGGGAAUUUAAGAAAUUUUGGGAGGAUUUUCUGGAAUUUUUGGGAGUUUUUUUGAAUUUUUGGGAGUUUUGGGGGGAAUUUUGGGAAUUUGGGAGGAUUUUUUUGGAAUUUUUGGGAGUUUUUGGGGAAUUUUUUUGGAAUUUUCGGGAAUUCUGGGGGAUUUUGGGGAAUUUUGGGGGGUUUUGGGGAAUUUUAGGGGGGAUUUUGUGGGAAUUUUGUGGAAUUUUGGGGGAUUUUUGGGGAUUUUUGGGCUUUGUGGGAAUUUUGGGGAUUUGGGGGAGGAUUUUUUUUGAAUUUUUGGGAAAUUUUUGGGAAUUUCAUGGGAAUUUUGGGGUUUUUUGUGGGAAUUUUGCGACUUUCCCCCGGAUUUGGGGGAAUUUUAUCCAAAUUUGGGGGUUUGGGGGAGGAAAUUUGAGGAAUUUUGGGCGAUUUUGGGGAUUUUUGGGUCCUUCCAGGUGGGGUCGGAGGAACCUGAGGAGCCCCCGGAGGAACCUGGAGAGCCCCAGGGGUCCCCCAGGAUCAAACACGUCUGCAGGAGAGCCCCGCCCCCCGAGCCGGCCACGCCCCCGGAAGGUGAGACCCCCAAAAUCCCCCAAAAUCUGCCCCAAAAUCCCCCAAAAUCACCCCACAAUCACCCAAAAUCACCCCAAAAUCACCCCAAAAUCACCCCAAAUCACCCCAAAAUUGUCCAAAAUCCCCCAAAAUCACCCCAAAAUCACCCCAAAAAUCCCCAAAAUCCUCCAAAAAUCCUCAAAAAUCCCCCAAAAUCAACUCAAAAUCCCCCAAAAUUCCCCCAAAUCCCCCAAAAUUCCUCUAAAUUCCCCAAAAUUCCCCAAAAUCCCCCCAAAUCCCCCCAAAAUCCUCAAAAAUCCCCCAAAUUCCCCAAAAUCCCCCAAAAUCAGCCCAAAAUUGUCCAAAAUCCCCCCAAAAUCACCCAAAAUCAACUCAAAAUCCCCCAAAAAUCCUCAAAAAUCCCCAAAAUCCCCCAAAAUCCCCCCCAAAUCCCUCAAAUCCCCCAAAAUCAACUCAAAAUCCCCACAAAAUUCCCAAAAAUUCCCCAAAUCCCCCCAAAAUCCCCCAAAAUUCCCCAAAAAUCCCAAAAAAUCCCCUAAAAUCCCCCAAAAUUCCUAAAAAUCCU